GAUGAACGCUAGCGGCAGGCCUAACACAUGCAAGUCGAGGGAGAGGUUACCUUCGGGUAACCAACACCGGCGCACGGGUGCGUAACGCGUAUACAAUCUGCCUUUCACAUAGGGAUAGCCCGAAGAAAUUUGGAUUAAUACCUAAUGGUAUAUAAGAGCGGCAUCGUUUUUAUAUUAAAGCUACGGUGGUGAAAGAUGAGUAUGCGUUCUAUUAGCUAGUUGGAGAGGUAACGGCUCCCCAAGGCGACGAUAGAUAGGGGUUCUGAGAGGGAUGUCCCCCACACUGGUACUGAGAUACGGACCAGACUCCUACGGGAGGCAGCAGUGAGGAAUAGUGGACAAUGGUCGGAAGACUGAUCCAGCCAUGCCGCGUGCAGGAUGAAGGUCCUAUGGAUUGUAAACUGCUUUUGUAAGGGAAGAAUAAGGAGUACGUGUACUUUGAUGACGGUACCUUACGAAUAAGCAUCGGCUAACUCCGUG
rnacentral:rRNA from 1 species